rnacentral:rRNA from 1 species
AUUGAACGCUGGCGGCAUGCCUUACACAUGCAAGUCGAACGGCAGCACGGGAGCAAUCCUGGUGGCGAGUGGCGAACGGGUGAGUAAUAUAUCGGAACGUGCCCAGUCGUGGGGGAUAACGCAGCGAAAGCUGUGCUAAUACCGCAUACGAUCUACGGAUGAAAGCGGGGGAUCGCAAGACCUCGCGCGAUUGGAGCGGCCGAUAUCAGAUUAGGUUGUUGGUGGGGUAAAAGCCCACCAAGCCGACGAUCUGUAGCUGGUCUGAGAGGACGACCAGCCACACUGGAACUGAGACACGGUCCAGACUCCUACGGGAGGCAGCAGUGGGGAAUUUUGGACAAUGGGCGCAAGCCUGAUCCAGCAAUGCCGCGUGCAGGAUGAAGGCCUUCGGGUUGUAAACUGCUUUUGUACGGAACGAAACGGUCCACUCUAAUACAGUGGGCUAAUGACGGUACCGUAAGAAUAAGCACCGGCUAACUACGUGCCAGCAGCCGCGGUAAUACGUAGGGUGCGAGCGUUAAUCGGAAUUACUGGGCGUAAAGCGUGCGCAGGCGGUUAUAUAAGACAGAUGUGAAAUCCCCGGGCUCAACCUGGGACCUGCAUUUGUGACUGUAUAGCUAGAGUGCGGCAGAGGGGGAUGGAAUUCCGCGUGUAGCAGUGAAAUGCGUAGAUAUGCGGAGGAACACCGAUGGCGAAGGC